CCAUGCAGAGGCAGCAAGAGGAGAGAGUCCUGCUAGCUGGAAGGGACAUAUUUCAAAAUAAGUGUUCCACUUUUUUGAUAGAGCUUUCUUUGCUUUUAUUUUUUUUCCCCUGCUAGCAGCAGCCAUAACAAAAUCUCUCCUUGCAGAAGAAGUGAAUGUCAUCAAAGGUGGAGUCAGAGUACAAAGAGGAAGAAACCUCCGUUUGACACUGCCUCACUAAUCUCAGCAGUGUAUCACUCAUUAUUCUGCACAGGAUUAAAGAUAAGCAGCAAUAUGGGGUUGUUGAUAUCUGUCUGCAUUUCUGAAAAAUGGUCCUUUGCUCUUCCAAACUGAGGCUCUUCUGAAGCUACAAAGGCUUUGCUGGGGCAGAUUCUUCAACUCAGAGACCUAAUUUUCCCACAACUGUCCUCAGCAUAUAUUUUCCUCAGAGAAAAAAAAGCUCUACAGUGUUUUUUUUGGUUUGUUUUUUU